CCCACGAUGAAUUUCGGGGGGUCGCAGCAAACAAGGGAAAGUGAACGAACGUGUGUCAAGUUUCUAAAGAAAAGAAUUUGCCGAGGAGAUGUGUGGUGUUGGCGACUUCAUUGACGGGAUUCAGAUCUUCAUCGCGAAUGAGGUUGAUGGAAUCGACAUCACUGCGAUGGAGAACAUCAGAUUGCGCUGCCACAACUCCGGAACUUGGCUUCAGAGUUUCACACAUGAUCGUGAAGGUGAAUGGUCGACAAAAGUCAAGUGUCCUCCUGGGAUGAGGUUGUGCGGAAUGCGGGUCAAAUCCGAUCUACUUGACAAUACAAUUGGGGAUCGAACUUGCAUCAAUGAAGUCGUCGGUAUCUGCUGCUUUUAUUAGAAGGAAGUCUUCAUCUACUGCUUUUAUUAGGGGGAAGACUUCAUCUGCUGCUUUUAAUAGAAG